GACGAACGCUGGCGGCGUGCCUAAUACAUGCAAGUAGAACGCUGAAGCGAGGAGCUUGCUCUUCUUGGAUGAGUUGCGAACGGGUGAGUAACGCGUAGGUAACCUGCCUUGUAGCGGGGGAUAACUAUUGGAAACGAUAGCUAAUACCGCAUAACAAUGGAUGACACAUGUCAUUUAUUUGAAAGGGGCAAUUGCUCCACUACAAGAUGGACCUGCGUUGUAUUAGCUAGUAGGUGAGGUAAUGGCUCACCUAGGCGACGAUACAUAGCCGACCUGGGAGGGUGAUCGGCCACACUGGGACUGAGACACGGCCCAGACUCCUACGGGAGGCAGCAGUAGGGAAUCUUCGGCAAUGGGGGCAACCCUGACCGAGCAACGCCGCGUGAGUGAAGAAGGUUUUCGGAUCGUAAAGCUCUGUUGUAAGUCAAGAACGGGUGUGAGAGUGGAAAGUUCACACUGUGACGGUAGCUUACCAGAAAGGGACGGCUAACUACGUG
rnacentral:rRNA from 1 species